rnacentral:rRNA from 7 species
AGAGUUUGAUCCUGGCUCAGGAUGAACGCUGGCGGCGUGCCUAAUACAUGCAAGUCGAGCGAACGGACGAGAAGCUUGCUUCUCUGAUGUUAGCGGCGGACGGGUGAGUAACACGUGGAUAACCUACCUAUAAGACUGGGAUAACUUCGGGAAACCGGAGCUAAUACCGGAUAAUAUUUUGAACCGCAUGGUUCAAAAGUGAAAGACGGUCUUGCUGUCACUUAUAGAUGGAUCCGCGCUGCAUUAGCUAGUUGGUAAGGUAACGGCUUACCAAGGCAACGAUGCAUAGCCGACCUGAGAGGGUGAUCGGCCACACUGGAACUGAGACACGGUCCAGACUCCUACGGGAGGCAGCAGUAGGGAAUCUUCCGCAAUGGGCGAAAGCCUGACGGAGCAACGCCGCGUGAGUGAUGAAGGUCUUCGGAUCGUAAAACUCUGUUAUUAGGGAAGAACAUAUGUGUAAGUAACUGUGCACAUCUUGACGGUACCUAAUCAGAAAGCCACGGCUAACUACGUGCCAGCAGCCGCGGUAAUACGUAGGUGGCAAGCGUUAUCCGGAAUUAUUGGGCGUAAAGCGCGCGUAGGCGGUUUUUUAAGUCUGAUGUGAAAGCCCACGGCUCAACCGUGGAGGGUCAUUGGAAACUGGAAAACUUGAGUGCAGAAGAGGAAAGUGGAAUUCCAUGUGUAGCGGUGAAAUGCGCAGAGAUAUGGAGGAACACCAGUGGCGAAGGCGACUUUCUGGUCUGUAACUGACGCUGAUGUGCGAAAGCGUGGGGAUCAAACAGGAUUAGAUACCCUGGUAGUCCACGCCGUAAACGAUGAGUGCUAAGUGUUAGGGGGUUUCCGCCCCUUAGUGCUGCAGCUAACGCAUUAAGCACUCCGCCUGGGGAGUACGACCGCAAGGUUGAAACUCAAAGGAAUUGACGGGGACCCGCACAAGCGG